UUAUUUCUUUCAGAUUCCACUCAGAGAGAAGGCAUAAUUUACUAUACUGACUAUGUCAACUGUGAUGUAGUGGACUUGGACUUCCAUGGUCAUCAGUGCACACUAUGGGCAAGAAAACAAGUGAAAGACAACGUGCCACAAAACUGCAUUGACUACUUCGUCGACACCUGUGGCGUCGUCGUCCCUCAACAUAGCAGAGACCUCUGCUUUGAUGGAGAAGGAGACUACAAAUAAAUCCU
rnacentral:lncRNA from 1 species